rnacentral:rRNA from 1 species
AGAUUGAACGCUGGCGGCAGGCUUAACACAUGCAAGUCGAGCGGUAACAGGUCCAGCUUGCUGGAUGCUGACGAGCGGCGGACGGGUGAGUAACGCGUAGGAAUCUACCCAGUAGCGGGGGAUAGCCCGGGGAAACCCGGAUUAAUACCGCAUACGCCCCACGGGGGAAAGCAGGGGAUCUUCGGACCUUGCACUAUUGGAUGAGCCUGCGUCGGAUUAGCUAGUUGGUGGGGUAAAGGCCUACCAAGGCGACGAUCCCUAGCUGGUCUGAGAGGAUGAUCAGCCACACCGGGACUGAGACACGGCCCGGACUCCUACGGGAGGCAGCAGUGGGGAAUAUUGGACAAUGGGGGCAACCCUGAUCCAGCCAUGCCGCGUGUGUGAAGAAGGCUUUCGGGUUGUAAAGCACUUUCAGUGAGGAGGAAAUGGUGACGGCUAAUACCCGUUACAAUUGACGUUACUCACAGAAGAAGCACCGGCUAACUCCGUGCCAGCAGCCGCGGUAAUACGGAGGGUGCAAGCGUUAAUCGGAAUUACUGGGCGUAAAGCGCGCGUAGGCGGCUGAAUCAGUCGGGUGUGAAAUCCCUGGGCUCAACCUGGGAACUGCAUUCGAUACUGUUCAGCUGGAGUAUGGGAGAGGGCAGUGGAAUUCCACGUGUAGCGGUGAAAUGCGUAGAUAUGUGGAGGAACACCUGUGGCGAAGGCGACUGCCUGGCCCAAUACUGACGCUGAGGUGCGAAAGCGUGGGUAGCGAACAGGAUUAGAUACCCUGGUAGUCCACGCCGUAAACGAUGUCAACUAGCCGUUGGAGGACUUGAUCUUUUAGUGGCGCAGCUAACGCGAUAAGUUGACCGCCUGGGGAGUACGGCCGCAAGGUUA